rnacentral:rRNA from 1 species
UCCCAAGGGUAUGGCUGUUCGCCAUUUAAAGCGGUACGCGAGCUGGGUUCAAACCGUAGAAAAGUUGUAAAAUUCGACUUUUGUACAGUUUGAAUCCGAGAUUUAAUAAGACAUCAUACACGGCGGCUUUUAGUAGAAAUAUUAAAAGAGAAGCUAACUUAUAUCGGUAAAAUCCUGACUGGACAAUACCGAGGGAAAUGGAAAAAAUAAAAUUUUACAUACCCGUAGAGACUAAACGUUAGCAAUCCGAUAAAACGGAUUAAGUUAUAGUCCAUACACUUAGUAAUGAGUGAACCGAUAUGCGUGAGACAGGUUGGUCUCCUAUCUGCUGUAGGCGUUGUUGCUUGAGAGAACUCUUUCCUAGUACGAGAGGACCGGAAAGAACGAACCUCUGGUGUAUCGGCUGUUCCGCCAGGAGCACUGCCGAGUAGCUACGUUCGGAAAGGAUAACCGCUGAAAGCAUAUAAGCGGGAAGCCCCCCUCAAGAUCAGGCAACUUUCGUUUGUAUCACACUGCGUGUAAUACAAAAAAGUAAAAAUAGAAAAGUAAAAAGUGAAAAGAUUGUGUCGUUUUGCGACAUAUCAAAUUUUAACUUUAUACUUUAAACUGUUAACUUUAAUGAGUAUCGCGCUUAGCGUGAUACGAACGAUAUAAUUUCCUAGAAGAUGACUAGGUUGAUAGGUCUUAGGUGUAAGCACAGUGAUGUGUUUAGCCGAGAGAUACUAAUAAAUUAAA